rnacentral:rRNA from 1 species
CAGCCGCCACGGGAAUACGAAGGGGGCUAGCGUUGUUCGGAAUUACUGGGCGUAAAGCGCACGUAGGCGGUUGUGUAAGACAGGUGUGAAAUCCCCGGGCUUAACCUGGGAACUGCGCUUGUGAUUGCACAGCUAGAGUAAGGCAGAGGGGGUGGAAUUCCACGUGUAGCAGUGAAAUGCGUAGAGAUGUGGAGGAACACCGAUGGCGAAAGCAGCCCCCUGGGCCAAUACUGACGCUCAUGCACGAAAGCGUGGGGAGCAAACAGGAUUAGAUACCCGUGUAGUCCCUGUCUCUUAUACA